GAUGAACGCUAGCUACAGGCUUAACACAUGCAAGUCGAGGGGAAACGAUAUUGGAAGCUUGCUUCCGAUAGGCGUCGACCGGCGCACGGGUGAGUAACGCGUAUCCAACCUGCCCAUCACUUGGGGAUAACCUUGCGAAAGUAAGACUAAUACCCAAUGACGUCUCUAGAAGACAUCUGAAAGAGAUUAAAGAUUUAUCGGUGAUGGAUGGGGAUGCGUCUGAUUAGCGUGUUGGCGGGGUAACGGCCGACCAAGGCGACGAUCAGUAGGGGUUCUGAGAGGAAGGUCCCACACAUUGGAACUGAGACACGGUCCAAACUCCUAGGGGAGGCAGCAGUGAGGAAUAUUGGUCAAUGGGCGAGAGCCUGAACCAGCCAAGUAGCGUGCAGGAAGACGGCCCUAUGGGUUGUAAACUGCUUUUAUAAGGGAAUAAAGUGGGAGUCGUGACUCCUUUUGCAUGUACCCUAUGAAUAAGGACCGGCUAAUUCCGUGCCAGCCGCCGCAGUAA
rnacentral:rRNA from 1 species